GUCAGCAGUCAUACUACCUCCAGUUCAGACUAGGUAAUCCAUCUGAAGCUAAGUGGGUUUGGGUCUGGACAGUAUAUGGAUGGGAGACCAACUAUAAAAGCCGGGUAUCUAUCGGUG
rnacentral:rRNA from 1 species